rnacentral:lncRNA from 1 species
UGGGCAGCUCAGCAGGUGAAAAGUUUUAAGAGUUCUAAGUAAGAUGGUAAUAUUUCCAAAGUGAACAAUCUCUCAGAUUUUUCUAGAAGCUGUUCGAAGAGUGAGUCCCUUUGGAGGACACCGAAGCCAGCGAGCAGAAGUGCACCAGGGCAGGUCUCUGGAGAAGAUGGAAGCUCUCAGAUGUCUUCUCUGAGCCGGCUGUCCAGAUGUCCUAUGGCAGCAGUAGCUACAUGAGUCUUGGCAGGUUGCGUCUUUACACCACCACAGCCACUGCAUUCAGUCGGCAGCUGGGUGAUUGAUAAUGAGGCUGGGGCAUUCUGUGUGCUCUGUUGUUUAGGAAGAGGAUACCCUCUCCCCUGUUAACAUGUGACACAAAGGUCAUCACACUGUCCAUCCAUAUGCAUCUACGAUCUUCCAACCUUUUUCCUUCUAGACGCCUGACCAGCUGGCCAAGCCAUUCACUGUUUCCCAUGGUUCUCAUGAUUUUCUGACUCUGGGCCACUUCCCUUUCAUCAUAAAGUGGAUGACCAGGUGCAUUGCCCAUUGGGAGGCUUUUCUCUGACCACAUCCUACCAAGGCCACCUUGCAGGGAGCGUGCAGUAGAGUGGCCAUCCAUUCGCAGUUUGCACCCACCUAACAAGCUCACCCUCUACAAGUAGGUGUGGGCUUUUUCUUCCUCUCAUGGGGUCCCCUAGACAGCCAGGGAUAUGAACCACCAGGGGGUCAGAACAAGUUACAGUGCGUUGGCAUCUGGACCACUGUUCAUGCCGUCUGCUUGGGCUCAGUAAUGCUGCUAGGGCUCAAUCCUGGACCAACUGUUCGUCUCAUACAGGAUGGUUGCUGGACCAGCCUUUAUGAUUUACCAGGUCUGCCCUACUUAUGAUGGACAGACCCAGCUGAACGGCUACUGGGUGUAACAGAGCCCGAUAACACACCAGGAGAUGCUUUCCAAAACGCAUGAAAUUCUGUGCUGCUCUUAAACAGCUUGACUCCAGAACGCUGGGGGCCAGCUUUGUGAUUCUCUGGCUGGGGCUUGCCAUGUGUUCCACACAGCUUCUGUUCCCACUGCUGACACCUCCAACACCGGCUGCAGGGACCUUUCCCACUCGGUUGCAUUCAGAGCUGGUCAGUAGCUUUUGGUCCACUUAGUGUUGGAACUAGAGCAGUAUUCCCAGCUGUGGAAUUUGCUGCUUCUACAACCCAAAGAGGCCAAACACACACUGCGAGUCUUUCUUUGUGAAAGAUAGGGCAAGGUACAUUGCUUUUGAGGUGCUGUCCUGACCACCAGACCCCUAAAAAUUUUUACAAAUAUGGCAGUGCCAUACCACUCAUCUGCUUCCUUAAGUUCCUACCAAAUCUCUACAUUCCAUUGUAAGACUGGCUUUUUUUCAAGGGAAAUUCCGGAAACUCUUGUCUCUCCUUCUUGCCAUCGGUUGUCACAUUGCAGCAUACAUGAGAAUACACUUGAAUGCUUGCCCCAAUGUGAAUUAUCAAGCCCUACCCACAGAGAGUCUGAUUCCAAAUAUAUCUGUGUGAGGAAUCUGCAUUUUGAGAAAGUACCUCCCACCCAUGCUUCUAAAGGUCUUCGAGCAAGCUGUUCACUUUGCCUCUUGGCCUGCCUUUCUUCUUUUCUUCUCCACCUGUGACCCGCCCUUGCCCAUUCUUCAAGACGCAGCUCCCAUCAGUAUCACCUCUUUUGUGAAGCUUUUCCUAACUCUCCCCAGGCUAGAAUUAGUCCAUCAGGAUGUCACAGUAAUUUUCAUGCCCCUUUUCAUCUCCAUAGUUAUUUAUGUGAAGUCUCAUCUUCCCUCAAGGCUAUAAACUUCUGAGAUUUUUUUCAUGUACCUUUUAUCUCCAACAGUCAUCCCAAUGCUAAGUGUGUGGCAGGCACUCACAGUACACUUCUUGGAUGGAUCAGUGCAUGAAUCCUGGGGAUCAAGGUGUGAAAAUUCUGUGAAUUGGUUGAGUUCCAUGAGAUAAAAAGUUAAUAUAUCAACAUUUAGUCCUUUCAUUUUCUCACCAAGGGAAUAGUAUAUGCUUUCUCCAGAAAUCUCAUCCUAUACUCUUCUUAAUCCCUUUAUGGAGCUACAAGAUAAGACCUUAAUCCCUCAAGGACUGACAUUUGAUCAGCGCUUACAGACUUUUUCUAAACAGAGAACAGCUUUUUACCUAUGGUUUUAAAAAAAUGGAAAUUUUUCUGGGAAGAAUUUUCUAUGAAUUUCCCAUCCAUUUCAACAGAGCACUUCUUUUGCUAAUUAAUUAUUGAUUUGCUUGACCUGACCCAUUUUUGCAGUGCUGCGAGUUCGGGUCCCCGUGGAUGCUGGUCUUUAAUAUCAACUCAAGGCAGAAUCAAGUUGUUAUGUCAGAGGCGGGGGCCUGGUAGUGGCGUGAAUGUCCUUUCUAAAGGUGGUGGAAACAGCAGAAUGUCAGCGUGGUAACGGAACUUCUUAGAGUGAACGCUCUUGGUGUUGGGAGAGAACAAAUCAAAGAAAUCAAAACCUCAGAGCAACAGUUGAUGGAACUUGAGAAAUUAACAGACUUUUUCAGAGACAGCCUAAGAAACAAAGACCCUCCGACCAGAGUCUUGGUCUUCUCGUGUCAUACUUAUUAGCUUUACCUGGGUUUUAGCUUCUGAACUGUGCUGGGUCAAUUCAACAAAUCUACAAAGCACAUUCUUAUUGGUUCCACUCAACUAUGUUCCCACAUCAAUGAAGAACCCUCGUCGCUUGAUGCACCCAAAGGGAAGCUCCUGGUACAUUGAAAUAAAGUCAAUAGGAGUUCCUGUCAUGGCGCAGGGGAAACGAAUCCAGCUAGUAUCCAUGAGGAUGCACGUUUGAUCCCUGGCCUUGCUCAGUGGGGUCAGGGAUCCCGUGUUGCUGUGAGCUGUGGUGUAGGUGAAAGACUCAGCUUGGAUCCCAUGUUGCUGUGGCUGUGGUUAUAAGCUGGCAGCUGUUCUUCCAAUUCUACCCCUAGCCUGGGAACUUCCAUAUGCCAUGAGUGUGGCCCUGAAAAGCAAAUAAAGUCAAUAAAACGUAGGUAACAAAAUGAAAAAAAUAAAUAUGGAGCUUUUUCUGUAUAAUAUGUAGUUGAUAAUUCUCCUAAAAGACCCAAAGAAAUUAUCUUUUUUGAGUUUACUCAUCUAAACAAAAUUAAAGACAAAAAUCAUAAUGUUCCCCAUAGAUUCUAAUGUAUACUAUUACCAAAAGGAUAAAGUAAAACCUUCUUCUUAAUAAAAGCAUGUAAAAUGAUUUAAAAGAUAUGUACCAUGAAAUUACACUAGAAAGCUCCUAUUUAUUUGAAUACAGUCUCUUCAAUCUUUCUUUGCCAUUUAUGAGUAAAUAUUUGUAUCUAAAAAGAAAUUUGAAUUCUAAAAAGAACAGGAGGCACUGAAGUAUACAGAGAGGACCAGAUACAUUUAUCUUAUCACUUCUAAAACCCUACAGCUUCCGCCAGUGAUUAGGAAUUGUAGCACAUUUUUUCCCCAGUUCGAAAAGAAAAUAAUGAGCUAUACAAACAUUUCCAGGAUAAUCAAGCAGAAAUUUGCUGAACCAUGAAAAUUUUUUAACAAUGCAAGAAAAUAGUCAAUGAUUUUUAAUAGCCAUCAAAUCACUAAUAGCUUCUAAAUUCUGCUCCUAUAAUAGUAGGGGGAUGGAUGGGGUGAAUGAAAUGAUACAUGAAAAAGGAGUGACUCGUCCACCAACCAAAUGGCUGUUUACAAUAACAAAUUGUCAGAUUAAUCAGCAAUUCUUGGGCCAAAUAAAAACCACUGCAUUACUAAGCAUAUAUAUUCUUCUAUGCUUUCUUCUAGCAUUCCUUAUCCUCUUCCAACCAAAAUAAAUACCUUCUGUCUCCAUAAACAUGUACAUUACACAUGGAAAAGGCAGUGAAGGGCACGCUGGAAAUUAAUGACUUUUUGAUUAAGGUCCUUGUGAACCUACUUUAACAUCACAGUACUCCUAGGAGGAGUAACAUGCGUGGGGAGUGGUCACCAUAUUGAAAAUUUGUCUAUCGGAUCUUUCUUCUCUGCGACCCAAGCUACAAGAGAGGAAGUGGGAUAUUCAAGAAGUGGAGGGAGGAACCUCAAAGACAAGCAGCCCACCACACACUUUCUCCAGCCCCGACACCCAGCACUUGCAUUGCUCGCCAGCGCCCAAGAGAGCCUCAGUGCAAGCACAGUUCCAGCAAAAUUACCUUUCAUUGCCACCACCAGCUACACAGACAAAGGAAGGACCAAAUUCUUGUCUUUGUGACAAAUCUGGGCAUGCAUCAAUGGAAACCAAGCACAAUAAAAGUUUCCUUGGUGAAAAGGAUGAAGGCGGUGACUCUCUGCCAUCUAAUGGGUUCAGGUCCCAAAAAAGAAAUUGUUUUUUCCCAAAAAGAAAUUUUGACCUGACCUAUAAACCAGGGGCUCUGGUCUAAUGGAUCUAAUUCAUUUCACCUUAUGGGAAUUUGUGGUUAUUUCUUUAUUGCUAGAUGCAAACAAUACCUAUCCUGGCCCAAGAAUGGAGCCUCAGUUACUCCCUAAGCAGAGGAGACUGAUGUGGUGGUGGUGGUUUUCUCUAGACAUAACAGCCACGAGGUAGCCAAUGAUAUCGUACAUGGAUGACACAGUGACUGGCUUUCCAAGAGAUGAAAAUAGAUUCGCACAGCUGUAGAUACAGACUUUCUGUACUAAAUAACUCUAUUUCAUCACCAUGGAGAACUUACCCAGUGGAGCUCUACCCUGCAGCAACUACACCUGCAAAAGUUGCUUUAUUUUCAAGUGUUCCAAGCUCUAGAUGAGUAUUAUUUGGGAAUGUGGCCAGUGAAAGGAGAGGUGGCAGGUUCUGAGUAUAAAGUGUUCAAAAGUCAUGACCCCAUUAUAACAGCUAUUCCAGGCAAGUUCAAGUAUACACCCUAGGUCAGGAUAGUCUAUAACUUGCUGUGAGG